GUACUUGCAGCCUUUGAAGCCGCCUGGCUGUUCAGGAGAGAGCUGGAUUCCAAACGCAGGACGGCCAGACCUUGGGCUAGUGUGACCCACAGAGGUUGUGAGCUCUGCUGAGACCUGCCUGAGAGAAACCUCCAGAACGACCUCCCAGCUCCACUGUAAGUCUCU